rnacentral:rRNA from 1 species
GAAUUUUGGACAAUGGGCGAAAGCCUGAUCCAGCAAUGCCGCGUGCAGGAUGAAGGCCUUCGGGUUGUAAACUGCUUUUGUACGGAACGAAAAGCUUUGGGUUAAUACCCUGGAGUAAUGAAGGUACUGUAGGAAUAAGCACCGGACAACUAAGUGCCAGCAGCCGCGGUAAUCCGUAGGGUGCAAGCGUUAAUCGGAAUUACUGGGCCUAAAGCGUGCGCAGGCGGUUUUGUAAGACAGAGGUGAAAUCCCCGGUCUCAACCUGGGAACUGCCGUUGUGACUGCAAGGCUAGAGUUCGGCAGAGGGGGGUGGAAUUCCGCGUGUAGCAGUGAAAUGCGUAGAUAUGCGGAGGAACACCGAUGGCGAAGGCAACCCCCUGGGCCUGUACUGACGCUCAUGCACGAAAGCGUGGGGAGCAAA